rnacentral:rRNA from 1 species
UACGGAGGGUGCGAGCGUUGUCCGGAAUCAUUGGGCGUAAAGGGCGCGUAGGUGGCCACUUCAAGCGUGCGGUGAAAGUCGGGGGCUCAACCCCUGAUCGGCCGUGCGAACUGGGGGGCUGGAGCACUGUAGAGGCAGGCGGAAUUCCGGGUGUAGCGGUGGAAUGCGUAGAGAUCCGGAAGAACACCGGUGGCGAAGGCGGCCUGCUGGGACAGUGCUGACGCUGAGGCGCGACAGCGUGGGGAGCAAACAGG